GCCCCGAAAAUGGGAGAGAAACGGCCCGAAAUGUCCCCAAAUUAUGGCAGAGAAAUGCCCCAAAAUUGGGAGAGAAACCACCCAGAAAUGGCAGAGAAAUAACCCAAAACACCGCCCCAAAAAUGGGAGAGAAACGGCCCGAAAUGUCCCCAAAAUAUGGCAGAGAAAUGCCCCAAAAAUGGCACCAAACUACCCCAAAACUUCCCCCCAAAAAUGGCAGAAAAACACCCCAAAACCACCCCAAAAAUGGGAGAGAAAUAACCCAAAACACCGCCCCGAAAAUGGGAGAGAAACGGCCCGAAAUGUCCCCAAAAUAUGGCAGAGAAAUACCCCAAAAUUGGGAGAGAAACCACCCCAAAACCACCCCAAAAUUGGGAGAGAA
rnacentral:lncRNA from 1 species